UGGGCAACCUGUCCCUCUCUCUGGGAUAAACCCCGGGAAACCGGAGCUAAUACCGGAUACUCCGGCUGGAUCGCAUGGUCCGGCCGGGAAAGGUCCGCCGGAGAGGGAUGGGCCCGCGGCCUAUCAGCUUGUUGGUGAGGUAACGGCUCACCAAGGCUACGUCGGGUAGCUGGUCUGAGAGGACGACCAGCCACACUGGAACUGAGAUACGGUCCAGACCUCCGUACGGGAGCA
rnacentral:rRNA from 1 species